CGGCAACGGCAAUUCAAUCCCGAGACGCGGCUGUGUGUGGUGUUUAUAGUGGUGAAGUGGGGUCAGGUCCUGGGGCUUGAUGUGCCAAUGAGAUAAUGCACAGACAAAAUGCAUCUACGAAGGAGGGUGCUAGUAAGCAGGAAUUUGGCACUGUUUGGAUCCAAAACACAAAUGGCAUCCACCAAAUGGUACGGGUGCUGCAAGUCACACCUACCAAAGGCAAGACCACUGGCCAGUCAUCACUCCCAGCAGUGGUGCGAGCUGUCGUCCACGCCCCCAGCACUGGAGCCCAGCCUACCACCUUCACCUCCGCUCCGGCCGCUCAGCCUGCUGCCGCGAGCACGCCGUCCGCAGCCGGGCCCGUCAUCCGCGUGUCGGCCGCUGUGAGCCAGCCGGUCGUGACGGCGCCGGGAACUGCCGCCAGCAUACGGCUCGUCGCCGGCGUGUCCACGGCCGCCGCCCGCUCUCCGGCCACGCUGGUGCUCCACCGCAAGCUGCAGCCCCAGCCGGCCUCGCGCAGUACAAAUUCGGCGACUCUGGAUGUUGGCUCUCCAGGCUCCCAUUCACAGAUGCAAGGCCGGGGCGGGCGCGGC
rnacentral:lncRNA from 1 species